UUAAGGCUGAGACACGACGUCGAGCACCUACGGGUGUGAAGUCAUUGAUGCCAUGCUUCCAGGAAAAGCCUCUAAGCUUCAGAUUGUAAGGAAUCGUACCCCAAACCGACACAGGUGGUCGGGUAGAGAAUACCAAGGCGCUUGAGAGAACUCGGGUGAAGGAACUAGGCAAAAUGGUACCGUAACUUCGGGAGAAGGUACGCUCUCGACGGUGAAGUCCCUUGCGGAUGGAGCUAUUGAGAGUCGCAGAUACCAGGUGGCUGCAACUGUUUAUUAAAAACACAGCACUGUGCAAAAUCGUAAGAUGACGUAUACGGUGUGACGCCUGCCCGGUGCCGGAAGGUUAAUUGAUGGGGUUAGACUUCGGUCGAAGCUCUUGAUCGAAGCCCCGGUAAACGGCGGCCGUAACUAUAACGGUCCUAAGGUAGCGAAAUUCCUUGUCGGGUAAGUUCCGACCUGCACGAAUGGCGUAAUGAUGGCCACGCUGUCUCCACCCGAGACUCAGUGAAAUUGAAAUCGCUGUGAAGAUGCAGUGUACCCGCGGCUAGACGGAAAGACCCCGUGAACCUUUACUACAGCUUGGCACUGAACAUUGACCCUACAUGUGUAGGAUAGGUGGGAGGCUUUGAAGCACGUACGCCAGUAUUUGUGGAGCCGUCCUUGAAAUACCACCCUUGUAGUGUUGAUGUUCUAACGUCGACCCCUUAUCGGGGUUGCGGACAGUGCCUGGUGGGUAGUUUGACUGGGGCGGUCUCCUCCCAAAGAGUAACGGAGGAGCACGAAGGUGGGCUAAUCACGGUUGGACAUCGUGAGGUUAGUGCAAUGGCAUAAGCCCGCUUGACUGCGAGAAUGACAAUUCGAGCAGGUGCGAAAGCAGGUCAUAGUGAUCCGGUGGUUCUGAAUGGAAGGGCCAUCGCUCAACGGAUAAAAGGUACUCCGGGGAUAACAGGCUGAUACCGCCCAAGAGUUCAUAUCGACGGCGGUGUUUGGCACCUCGAUGUCGGCUCAUCACAUCCUGGGGCUGAAGUCGGUCCCAAGGGUAUGGCUGUUCGCCAUUUAAAGUGGUACGCGAGCUGGGUUUAGAACGUCGUGAGACAGUUCGGUCCCUAUCUGCCGUGGGCGUUGGAAGAUUGAAGGGGGCUGCUCCUAGUACGAGAGGACCGGAGUGGACGAACCUCUGGUGUUCGGGUUGUGUCGCCAGACGCAUUGCCCGGUAGCUAAGUUCGGAAUCGAUAACCGCUGAAAGCAUCUAAGCGGGAAGCGAGCCCUGAGAUGAGUCUUCCCUGAUACUUUAAGUAUCCUAAAGGGUUGUCGGAGACUACGACGUUGAUAGGUCAGGUGUGUAAGUGCUGUGAGGCAUUGAGCUAACUGAUACUAAUUGCCCGUGAGGCUUAACCAUACAACACCCAAGGGGUUU
rnacentral:rRNA from 1 species